rnacentral:rRNA from 1 species
GAUGAACGCUGGCGGCGUGCCUAAUACAUGCAAGUCGAGCGAACAGAUGAGAAGCUUGCUUCUCUGAUGUUAGCGGCGGACGGGUGAGUAACACGUGGGUAACCUACCUAUAAGACUGGGAUAACUCCGGGAAACCGGGGCUAAUACCGGAUAAUCUUUUGAACCGCAUGGUUCAAUAGUGAAAGGCGGUUUCGGCUGUCACUUAUAGAUGGACCCGCGCCGUAUUAGCUAGUUGGUAAGGUAACGGCUUACCAAGGCGACGAUACGUAGCCGACCUGAGAGGGUGAUCGGCCACACUGGAACUGAGACACGGUCCAGACUCCUACGGGAGGCAGCAGUAGGGAAUCUUCCGCAAUGGGCGAAAGCCAGACGGAGCAACGCCGCGUGAGUGAUGAAGGUCCUCGGAUCGUAAAACUCUGUUGUUAGGGAAGAACAAAUUUGUUAGUAACUGAACAAGUCUUGAUGGUACCUAACCAGAAAGCCACGGCUAACUACGUGCCAGCCGCCGCCGUAA